AUGCUGUCAGUGAACUUGAGUCUAUUUGUCAUUUUUUUUCUGCUCACAAUAAGAGAGUGUAAAGGAGAAGAUAAAGUGAUUCAGCCACCAGGAGAUGUCAUUGCUGCUGAAGGAGACACAGUUAUACUGGACUGUACUUUUGAAACUAGUUCCACAGGCCCUACUUUGUUCUGGUACAAACAAGAAGUAAAUAAUUCCCCAAAGCACAUGAUGAAAACUUACUCGGCAUCUUUACAGAAAGCUCCAGAGUUCCAGGAAGACAGAUUUCAUACUGGAAUCCAGGAAAAGUCAGUUCCUCUGAAGAUCCACAAGCUUCAGCUGUCUGACUCUGCUGUGUACUACUGUGCUCUGCAGCCCACAGUGACAGGAAACAGCAAAACUCUGUACAAAAACCUUUGGAGCAAAUACAACAGAAAACUCCACAACAUCGACUAG